CCCGGCGACCGGCGCACGGGUGAGUAACACGUAUGCAACCUGGCCGCCACAGGGGGAUAACCCGCGGAAACGCGGCCUAAUACCCCGUGACGCCACCGGAGGGCAUCCUCCGGUGGCCAAAGGAGCGAUCCGGUGGCGGAUGGGCAUGCGGCGCAUUAGCUAGACGGCGGGGUGACGGCCCACCGUAGCGACGAUGCGUAGGGGUUCUGAGAGGAAGGCCCCCCACACUGGGACUGAGACACGGCCCAGACUCCUACGGGAGGCAGCAG
rnacentral:rRNA from 1 species